CCUACGGGAGGCAGCAGUGAGGAAUAUUGGUCAAUGGGCGGGAGCCUGAACCAGCCAAGUCGCGUGAGGGAAGACGGUCCUAUGGAUUGUAAACCUCUUUAGGCGGGGAGCAAUGCCGGGCACGCGUGCCCGGAGGGAGAGUACCCGCAGAAUAAGCAUCGGCUAACUCCGUGCCAGCAGCCGCGGUAAUACGGAGGAUGCGAGCGUUAUCCGGAUUGAUUGGGUUUAAAGGGUGAGUAGGCGGAUUUUUAAGUCAGCGGUAAAAUGUCCGGGCUCAACCCGGGCCGGCCGUUGAAACUGGGGAUCUUGAGUGGGCGAGAAGGAUGCGGAAUGCGUGGUGUAGCGGUGAAAUGCAUAGAUAUCACGCAGAACUCCGAUUGCGAAGGCAGCAUACCGGCGCCCGACUGACGCUGAGGCACGAAAGCGUGGGGAUCGAACAGGAUUAGAUACCCUGGUAGUC
rnacentral:rRNA from 1 species